ACUUCAGUGAGCCAUGUCAGCUUUAGUAGGCCAUGUCGGCUUUAAUGGGCUGUAUGGGAUCCUCGGAGGUUUUGUCUCGAUUGACUUCAGUGGGCCAUGUUGGCUUUAAUAGACCAUGUCAACUUCAGUGGGCUGCAUGGAGCCCCCAUAGGGUUAGCUCCGAUUGGCUUCAGUGGGCCAUAUCAGUUUCAAUGGGCUGUGUCGGCUUCAAUGAGUUAUAUGGGGUCCUCAGAGGGUUAGCAUCGGUUGACUUCAGUGGGCCAUGUCGACUUCAGUGGGCCGUAUGGGGUCCCUGGAGGGUUAGUCAUGGUUGGCUUCAGUGGGCUAUAUCGAUUUCAGUAGGCCACAUGGGGUCCCCAAAGGGUUAGACUUGAUUAGCUUUAGUGGGCCAUAUCGACUUUAGAGGAUCGUGUGGAGUCCCUGAAGGAUUAGCCUCGAUUGGCUUCAUUGGGGCUUGUUAGCUUCAGUGGGCCAUACAGGGUCUCCUGAGGAUUAGCCUCUUUAUUUUCAUUAUCAUGGCCUCCACUUUGACUUGCCCAUGGGCAAAGAGCGCUAAGUAGCUGGUGGGAUAAAGCAUUGGCUCGGAUGUCCUCGAAUCUUUAUGUCGCUGGGACCUCCAGAUUCUAUGAUGCCUCAGAGAGCCUUUCAUCAUUUUCUCGAAUACCAAGCCAUCUUCAGUCCUUGAGCCCCAAGAGGUUCGAGGCCUCAUCCACAUGAGGGGUCCAGCAAGGGACCCGAUUCCCUUGAUUGGUUUGGUUUGGCUCCUCAUUGGAUUGUCACAAGCCCUAGGAGCCUUUCGUGGUUGCCUCGGAGGCACUGUAGUUGGGGCCAAGCCUUGUUCAACUCUGCCUUGGCUCUGUCCUCACCUCCUUU
rnacentral:lncRNA from 1 species